GGAAUAUUGGACAAUGGGCGCAAGCCUGAUCCAGCCAUGCCGCGUGCAGGAUGACGGUCCUAUGGAUUGUAAACUGCUUUUAUACAGGAAGAAACAGUUCUACGUGUAGAACCUUGACGGUACUGUAAGAAUAAGGAUCGGCUAACUCCGUGCCAGCAGCCGCGGUAAUACGGAGGAUCCAAGCGUUAUCCGGAAUCAUUGGGUUUAAAGGGUCCGUAGGCGGUUUAAUAAGUCAGUGGUGAAAGCCCAUCGCUCAACGGUGGAACGGCCAUUGAUACUGUUAGACUUGAAUUAUUAGGAAGUAACUAGAAUAUGUAGUGUAGCGGUGAAAUGCUUAGAGAUUACAUGGAAUACCAAUUGCGAAGGCAGGUUACUACUAAUUGAUUGACGCUGAUGGACGAAAGCGUGGGUAGCGAACAGGAUUAGAUACCCUUG
rnacentral:rRNA from 1 species